rnacentral:lncRNA from 1 species
UCCCCCACAACACUGUGGGCCUUAUUCAAAAAGAACUCGGCCAGGCCGUACUAUCUUCACUGGACACAAGGCCUCAGUUAGUACGCUCAUACAGAAAAUAUGAGGCUCCGACGUGAGCCCUCAGACCUCGUCAUUGUACAUCCGUAAGCGGCAAACAACCAUGUCUGCGUCAUUGACAUAUAGCAAAGGGUGGUUGUGAGAUACUUGUUCCCAACGUUUUGGCAAGUCAUCCCGUGCCGCAAAAGCAGUUAGGGUGCAUUUCCAGUGCGGAUUAAGGCCAGGGAUUAACCCUCUGUCCUCCAUUGAUACUUGCUCAAACGGCGAAGUUGUUGGCAAACUUACCUCGCCUUUGGUUCCCUUAUGGAACAAAACUAUGUGGUAAGCUCGUACCAAGGACUUCCGUGCCUCUGUGCAAUACUUGCGUAUGCACAGAGGAUCGGGAUUUCAAUCUCAACUUAGACUUACAAUGUUUAUAAUUUGGUCCGCUUAAAUAGUCAUGCUAGCGCGCCACAACCUCACGUCGUACACACAAGUUCAAGCUCCGCUAGCUCCGAAGUUACGACACGGUCUCACACGCUCUCGUUAACUAACUUCAAAACAUUACACUAAUCCCUGGCCUUAAUCCACACUGGAAAUACACAAUUAAACGGGCCCAAAAGUCAGAGAUAACAUCGUAAGUAAUGCGGUUCAGCGUUGACGUUGAUACAGCCAUGUUGGCAUGAAGAAACAACAAAAUGGCGACCGAGAUUGAGUGAGCUGAUGGCCGCGAGGCAUACAACCUCCCACGCACACACACAAACCGAGGUCGGUGGAAUGCCCAACCACAAGUUAGCUCGGUUAAAAAGGUCUGGAAACUCUAGUUCAUUCUGCAGAGCCUCACAAAGAGCCAACGCGACAGUACAGUCCCAGAAAUGAUGCCGACGAUCCCCACAAACCAUGCACACACCACAAGGACACAAAGCAGCAGGGACGCCUCUUUGACGUUGCGCCCUAUGCAUAGGAAAGGCAGGGAACUUCCCUUUGAAACCAUCAAGAGCUAGCCGCCAAAGGGCUUCCUUAUGUUCACCGAAGUCGUCACAUGCGCGACAGAGCCCGACGGAAGUCCAAAAAGGUGUUGGCCAAGUUGUCCGGCGAUAAGACGAUAUCAACAGCAUCCAAAAUAAAAUCUUCAUGUUUUUGAUCAAGCGUCCGUAAAGAAGGUGCCAUUAAUAAAGUCGUCGCAAACUUGACUGUUAAUUGAGUGAAAUGCACUAACACUUGACCAAACCUCCAACCCAAGCUCUUGACUAAUCUUUUCCAGGCCUCUUGCGGAGGCGGUAUUUCAUGGUUUCCACCAUUCAUAGACUGACAAGAUGCCGGCAGGGGAUGCCUCGGAGUGAGCCUUAAUAUCCCCCGUACGACAAUAGUACGAAAACGGUUCGUACAUUGGAGGUGUUGCGCCUCAGUGAGGCCUUGUACACCAACCGUGUGCACCAAAUUCCAAGUAGACGACAUAGCAAUGAAACACUGUACGGCAAUACCUACAGUGUCUAACCCACACAUAUUCCGAAGAUCACCAAAUUGCUCGUCCAACUGAACGUCAUUUAGCAAGGUAGGCACGCCCGCGGCGACACCUGGCCCAGACGAGGUGCCGCCCUGGAGCGAUGCUAACCGAUUUGUUGCCAGCGCGCUGCUCGCAAUUCCAGCACAACCGUCUUUUUCUCUUAAACAACAGCAAUUUGUUAGGGUUGACGAACGUGAAGGAAACUCGACCCGAACAAAGUCGACUUUGUCAUGUCAACGGUAUAGCAUAUUGCAGGUUGGAAUGCCGCACGUGGCUGUCGCUAUCGCACAUACAAGAACGAAGCAAAUAUUUGCUCCUAUAAUAAGAGCAUUACUAUUAUUACUAUUUGAACUACUGUGUUCUUUGUGGCUUGAAGGAAUGCUAUACCGUUGACAUGACAAACUCGACUUUGUUCGGGUCGAGUUUCUUUCACGUUCGUCAACCCUACCAAAUUGCUGUUGUUUAAGAGAAAAAGACGGUUGUGCUGGAAUUGCGAGCAGCGCGCUGGCAAGAAAUCGGUUAGCAUCGCUCCAGGGCGGCACCUCGUCUGGGCCAGGUGUCGCGGACGGUAUGCUUUAGCAAAUGGUUUCCCCAAAGUGGGAUAUGGUAACACCAAGGACCCGGAGCUAAAUGUUGCGCAUCCAGAAGGACAUGUUGUGGUAGGGAAGUCAACGCUGUUAGAAUCCGUGUUAAUGCCGGGCAAUCAUUCGGCACUGGCCUACCCAAGAUAGUAGUGACACGGCCAUCUCGUACGUCUCCCCUAACGGCCAGCAGACAUAACUGGUGGGCCGCCGUGUGAAUAUGACGUAAUAUUGCCAGUAAUACCCGAGUCCACAUGGGGUUAGUUUCCAACAUACCCGACAUACCAAGGAUUGCACGAAAAGACAAACAAGCAAAACGAGCACGUAGAUGUUCGUGCGGAGGAAUGAGACCGAAACCCCCAAUGGCAGGAGGAAACGGCAUGUAUGCAACACCCACACCCGGGACACGUCUUCGCUCAGCACUGUCCCGCGCAGUUGGCGGUUGACGCCUGUCAAUAACUGCCGCACAGUCUCCCAGCAGGUAAUUCAUCGAGGUGGUGCUAGGUGCCCCCAUAAACUCCAAGCGGUAAAGGACUCUACUAAUGCUAUAACCUGAUACCGCAAAAGCUCAACCAAAAGCUGAUAAAUGCAUCCCAGCGACUAGCUGCAAGCUAUUCCUAACUGGCGAGAGCGGAACCGACUGCUGUUCGAGCGAGGGCCUAUCUGCGAAGCGAUCCCCUAGGGUUGUAGCUACUGAAAGCACCCUGAAACCGCCAACUUGUGAACCUACAACAAGCAGCUGUUCAACCUCGCCUGCUACUUGUAAGUUUCCCACGGAAUUCGCCACUUCAGUUAGGUUAGUAACCGGCAUCACCAAAUGGUUACCAAUAGCAUUCGCUGGUGGUAUGUCCGCCGGUCUUGCAUUGCGGGUGAACGUGCCAAGCGGCAAAAGCUCAACCUUGCGAUUGUUGAGCUGUUGUCCCGAGGCUGCGUGGAAAACAUCCAUGACAGCUUUGAAGCGGGGAAUGUCCGGUAAGUGACACAAAAAGGCACCACAAUCAUCCGCAUACUGUGACGCCGCGAGGUGAAUGCCACGCAAACUUAUGCCGAUUUGUUGAUAUUGAAGCCAAGUUAGUAAUGCUUGUGCUGGCGCGAGGUAGAGGAUGGGGGCAAGCGGACACCCUUGCCUGACGCCAGCCGCUAUAAGAACCCAGUAGGAAAGGUAACCAUUGGCACUCGCAGCUGAUUGUGUACUGGUAUGCAGACGUCGAACCCACGCAAUAAAGCCCACACCUACCCCCAAUCCACACAGACAAGCGAACAGAAAAUCGCUAUCAAGGGUAUCGUAGGCUUUGUAGAAGUCAAGGAGAGCUGCCACACAAGUACGGCGCUCCAUACGGAGGAGCACGGGCAGCAGUUGUAGGAGGAGCACACUAUCCGUGAUUCGCCUGCCCGUCGGGAAGGCUGUCUGCUCCGUGUCUAUGACACGGUUAAACAACGGCAGCAGCCGUUGCUUGAGAACACGUGCGAGAGUGCGAUAGUCUGUACCCAGCAGCGUAAUGGGUCUAUAAUUUCCCGGCACCGUAGGGUCAUCCGCUUUAAAAAAGGAAGAAAUGAUGCCGUCCAGAAAGCCUUCCGGGACCCUAUCUAGCUCCCCCAUGGCUGUAAAAACGGCGGCCAGUAAGGGUGCCAGUUAGUACGCUGGUAUAUUUCCACCGGUAUUCCGUCAGGACCUGGAGCGCGACCCGGGGUUGCCGCCUGGAGAGCGGCUUGCACUUCCUCUACUGUAACCACCUGCGCUCCCACCCUAGCCGCUUCUUCUGGUGUGCACGUCCUGCCCCUUGCACGGAGCGCUUGGAGGACACGUGACCGCGCAUCUGGGUCAAUAUGGGGCUGUGCUCCUAUUUGUUGCCAAUAAUCCGCCAUGAUAUUAGGAAGUUGUUGUAAAUUGCUACACAGAGUACCAUUAGGCCUUUGCAUGGCAGUAAUUCUGCGCGUUGCUAAGGGUGGCCUAAGUUGGUUGGUUAGUGCUGGGCUAGGUCGUUCGCCUGUACGUAUCCAAUUGUAACGGGUGCGUCGUGUGACGCCUGCUACAGCCCGGUGUGCCGCAUCUGCCUGAGCCGACCUAGCGAGAACCGCCCGUGGAAGAGCCGAUGUGGAGAAAGGUUCCAUGUGAACAGCAAUGGACAUGGGUUAGUCGAUCCUAAGGGUGUAUUUCCAGUGCGGAUUAAGGCCAGGGAUUAAGGUCCCGCAAUUCCCGGCUAAUCCCCGGCUCAUCCCUGGCAAUUCUUAAGGCCUGGGAUUUGCGCGGGGAUUAAGGCUGUACAAAGGGCGAUGCACAUUUUUUGAUGCGAUCUCGAAGCUAAUAUUACCAUUUCUGGAUUGCUUUGAGCAUUAGGCAUCGUAUGAGUAUAAAAUUUGGGCAGGAAGCGCACUCUUCUCGCCGUUGUGGCCACCGUUGAGGCCUGACAUUGAAGUAGCACCUUUCGCGCAAACCAAAUCAGAUAUUCCUUACUUGAGGUCAUCCUUAUGGAAUUAACUAGAAAAAAUAAGAUAUAACGCCAUGAACGCUAAUCCAGAUACGGAAAGUUACUACCUGGGUGGGGCCAGGUAAUAACUUUUUUGUCACAAGUUGCCAGGUAAAUACAUGGACAUCAAGUUGAAUUUAUGUUCUUUCCUAAUCUCUUGCUAACUCCUGCUAGUCCUCUGAAUAGAGAACACGGUGUCCUGAGGAAUACCUUAACCCCCUGGCGAACCCUGCUUAAUCCCGGUGGGAUUUCCACUGCUGGGAUUAGCACAGGGAUUAACGCUAACAGGGAUGCGACCGUAUUCGUUUUGGCCGUCUGGCGUAAUAAUGGUACCUCAAAUUAAUACGCCAGGCGUAUGGCGUAUCAAUACGCCGGGGUUCACGCCAUGCCGUAUUACAAUACUCGUGGCGUAUUCCUUUUGCGCUAUUCCGUCAUGGAAUUCAUGUUUUUCGCUUUUACAAUGAAAGGCGUAUUGCUUUAGUGUUUGGAAAACGAUCUCUCACAAGAUAAAAUAUGAAUUUGGGCAACAGCCAGACCUGGACAGCCAUCGAGCCAUGUGCGCACACAUUCGCGUCUGCAUUCUAGCAUUCCUAACAAACCGUGAUUAUCACAAAUACUACAGCCCAAAUUCCACUUUGGCUCUGUGAGCGGGGAAGGUUGUCAAGCAGAACUUGCACUUGCGAGCAUAGCGCUUGGAGCUAGAGCUAUAGUCACCGACUUCUUCGAAAUAAUCCAACACAGCACUAGGCUUAGGUCCCGGUUUAGCGCGUUUUGCUUCGCGCACGUUUUCCAUUUCGCGGGUUGUUAUUACAACAAGGUAUGUUGCAAACCCAGUGAUAAGCAAACCCUAAAACCUAAUCCUAAGUAUGAACUAAUUACACCAAUGACUCGGGAAUGUCAAUAGCUCGAUAUUUCUCAAAAUCGGCGAGUUUUCAGACUGUACGACAACCCAACGACAAACAAUACGCCGACAAUACGCCAACAAUACGCCAACGCAUAAACAGCCCAACUGGCUGGCGUAUUCGGCGUAUUAAUACGGGCGUAUUAGCUGGCGUAUUAAUAUGGAAUACGGUCGCAUCCCUGAACGCUAAUCCCUGGCCUUAAUCCGCACUGGAAAUACACCCUAAGGGUGCAUUUCCAGUGCGGAUUAAGGCCAGGGAUUAAGCCUCUGUCCUCCAUCGAUACUUGCUCAAACGGCUAAGUUGUUGGCAAACUUACCUCGCCUUUUCAACUUUUGGUUCCCUUAUGGAACAAAACUAUGUGGUAAGCUCG